CCAACUGCGAGUAACACAGACUUCAGUCAUGAAUCUGGACUUCRUCAAUUGCCUGAUGGGUCAUACGUUCAGAGAGUAAGUAGGACGUUUCCUAUGUAAGACGAAAAAGCUGGGGAGUUGAACAUGGCCCUUCAAAAGGAGAAAGUAAAUGCUAGCCUAUCCUAAUUAGCUUGACAAGGCGGUAUUUUUUCAGAUCAAGAAUUGUCCGCCUUGAAGUCGCAAGAAGAAGUGGGAUGCAGUUGUAAAUAGUUAAAUCUAAAAAAGAUGAAACAGAAGCAACCAAUUAAGACGAACAAGCUGGGCAGUCGAGAAAGAGCCUUCAAAAGGACAUAGUAAAUGCUAAGCCAAUUAAUCGCUUGGCAUAGCGGUAUUUUUCAAGUGCAGAUCUAGAAUUGUCCUCCUUGACGACGCAAGAAGUGGGAUGCAGUUGUAAAUAGUUAAAUCUAAAAAGAUAAAACAGAAGCAACCAAGUAAGACGAACAAGCUGGGCAGUCGAAAAAGGGCCUUCAAAAGGACAAAGUAAAUGCUAACCUAUGCUAAUUGGCUUGACAUAGGCGGUAUUUUUGUAGAUCUAGAAUUGUCCGCCUUGACGAUGCAAGAAGAAGUGGGAUGCAGUUGUAAAUAGUUAAAUAUAAAAAGAUAAAACUAAAACAGAAGCGAUCCAUGCAUGUAAGAACGACRGAGUAGCUUUCAGGUAAUUGAUCCAUCACCAGUGUUAUAAACUGUGCAAACGAAGGCAAAACAUAUAAAACCAAAAGCGUGAACGUUGAAAUGGAUAAGUAACUAAGGCCCCGUCCACACGUAUCCGGAAAUUUUUGUAUCCGCAAAUUUUUUUUUGCUGAUACGAAAAUGUUUGCGUCCACGCGCAGCGUAUUCGAAUCGUUUUCACCGUCCACACG